rnacentral:rRNA from 1 species
GAGUUUGAUCUUGGCUCAGAUUGAACGCUGGCGGCAGGCCUAACACAUGCAAGUCGGGCGGUAGAGAGAAGCUUGCUUCUCUUGAGAGCGGCGGACGGGUGAGUAAUGCCUAGGAAUCUGCCUGGUAGUGGGGGAUAACGCUCGGAAACGGACGCUAAUACCGCAUACGUCCUACGGGAGAAAGCAGGGGACCUUCGGGCCUUGCGCUAUCAGAUGAGCCUAGGUCGGAUUAGCUAGUUGGUGAGGUAAUGGCUCACCAAGGCGACGAUCCGUAACUGGUCUGAGAGGAUGAUCAGUCACACUGGAACUGAGACACGGUCCAGACUCCUACGGGAGGCAGCAGUGGGGAAUAUUGGACAAUGGGCGAAAGCCUGAUCCAGCCAUGCCGCGUGUGUG